UGGGGAAUUUUGCACAAUGGGGGAAACCCUGAUGCAGCGACGCAGCGUGAUUUAGAAGGCCUUCGGGUUGUAAAAAUCUUUUCUAUGGGAAGAAAAUGACAGUACCAUAGGAAUAAGGACCGGCUAAUUACGUGCCAGCAGCCGCGGUAAUACGUAAGGUCCGAGCGUUGUCCGGAAUCAUUGGGCGUAAAGGGUACGUAGGCGGGUAAGCAAGUUAGAAGUGAAAUCCUGUAGCUCAACUACAGUAAGCUUUUAAAACUGCUCAUCUUGAGAUAUGGAAGGGAAAGUGGAAUUCCUAGUGUAGCGGUGAAAUGCGCAGAUAUUAGGAGGAAGACCGGUGGCGAAGGCGACUUUCUGGCCAUAAUCUGACGCUGAGGUACGAAAGCGUGGGUAGCAAACAGG
rnacentral:rRNA from 1 species